rnacentral:lncRNA from 1 species
AGCACAAAACGGGUAGGAAGAUAACAGCAGCCACGUUGUCCUGGAAGUUGAUGUCACUUCCGAUAACUGUGUCAGUCACGUGACUUUUCAAGGCGGAACUUCCGCUACGCUGUGCCUCUUCGUUUCCGCACCCUUCCUCCUCUGGUCGGCCUCCCACUGACGUGUUUCUCCCAUGUCCGCGGUCGGCAGGUGGGCGACGAAGACGAGCUGCAACACGCCAGAGGGAGAAAGCGACUCUCCCGCUUAGCAAAAAACAAACUCUUUUUAUCUUGGACAUUUUCUUCAAGGCUGGACACAGGUGGACAGACUCGGCACCUGACGACACAACAAUCACGGCAAACAAGCAUGCCGCCAGAAGGGAAGUUGUGUUGAAGAAAGAAGACUCUGUUGCUCAUGGAAUACUCCUAACUAUCUAUGGGAGGGUUUUCGGAGUGCACCUUGUUUACCACCCACCUUGCUCCGUUACGUACCGCUGGGCUGACCCUUGCCUUCCCCCCGACAGCACUAGGUGUCUUCUGUCAGUGCCAAUUCUGUAUCCGACUACCGUCUACUAUAAUUCCUGGAGGCAGCACCUUCGAGCCCCGAAAUUGUGAGGACCCUUCUCCCACUACCCCUUUCGCGUAUUACUUGCGGUGUGUGGCUCCGAUCGCGUGGACCACCUCUCCACGCCCCUAAUUCCUGAAUCAUGAACCCCAAACCCCGCUCGCCCCAAAAUACUCUUAUUGCUCGAGGCCCAAAGGAAUCCCUUGACCAGCUGUUACCCAUGUGCCAACGCGUUGCCAUAAACCAUGCUGCCCGGGUGGGGAUACUUGCAGAAUUGUGAACGAUACGCUUUUGGUGUGCAGUUAGACGACUUUGCUGGCUGUGUCGGACCUGGAGCAGCUGCUCUUGAUCGGUAAUUCCUCGGACACAGCCCGUGGUAGCGCCCAGUUAUACAUUCAGACAUCUGUUUGACAACAAGCGACGCCUGCGCC